rnacentral:rRNA from 1 species
GAACGGUGAAGCAGAGCUUGCUCUGUGGAUCAGUGGCGAACGGGUGAGUAACACGUGAGCAAUCUGCCCCUGACUCUGGGAUAAGCGCUGGAAACGGCGUCUAAUACCGGAUACGAGCUGCGACCGCAUGGUCAGUAGCUGGAAAGAAUUUCGGUCAGGGAUGAGCUCGCGGCCUAUCAGCUUGUUGGUGAGGUAAUGGCUCACCAAGGCGUCGACGGGUAGCCGGCCUGAGAGGGUGACCGGCCACACUGGGACUGAGACACGGCCCAGACUCCUACGGGAGGCAGCAGUGGGGAAUAUUGCACAAUGGGCGCAAGCCUGAUGCAGCAACGCCGCGUGAGGGAUGACGGCCUUCGGGUUGUAAACCUCUUUUAGCAGGGAAGAAGCGAAAGUGACGGUACCUGCAGAAAAAGCGCCGGCUAACUACGUGCCAGCAGCCGCGGUAAUACGUAGGGCGCAAGCGUUAUCCGGAAUUAUUGGGCGUAAAGAGCUCGUAGGCGGUCUGUCGCGUCUGCUGUGAAAACCCGAGGCUCAACCUCGGGCCUGCAGUGGGUACGGGCAGACUAGAGUGCGGUAGGGGAGAUUGGAAUUCCUGGUGUAGCGGUGGAAUGCGCAGAUAUCAGGAGGAACACCGAUGGCGAAGGCAGAUCUCUGGGCCGUAACUGACGCUGAGGAGCGAAAGGGUGGGGAGCAAACAGGCUUAGAUACCCUGGUAGUCCACCCCGUAAACGUUGGGAACUAGUUGUGGGGUCCAUUCCACGGAUUCCGUGACGCAGCUAACGCAUUAAGUUCCCCGCCUGGGGAGUACGGCCGCAAGGCUAAAACUCAAAGGAAUUGACGGGGACCCGCACAAGCGGCGGAGCAUGCGGAUUAAUUCGAUGCAACGCGAAGAACCUUACCAAGGCUUGACAUAUAGAGGAAACGUCUGGAAACAGUCGCCCCGCAAGGUCUCUAUACAGGUGGUGCAUGGUUGUCGUCAGCUCGUGUCGUGAGAUGUUGGGUUAAGUCCCGCAACGAGCGCAACCCUCGUUCUAUGUUGCCAGCACGUAAUGGUGGGAACUCAUGGGAUACUGCCGGGGUCAACUCGGAGGAAGGUGGGGAUGACGUCAAAUCAUCAUGCCCCUUAUGUCUUGGGCUUCACGCAUGCUACAAUGGCCGGUACAAAGGGCUGCAAUACCGUGAGGUGGAGCGAAUCCCAAAAAGCCGGUCCCAGUUCGGAUUGAGGUCUGCAACUCGACCUCAUGAAGUCGGAGUCGCUAGUAAUCGCAGAUCAGCAACGCUGCGGUGAAUACGUUCCCGGGUCUUGUACACACCGCCCGUCAAGUCAUGAAAGUCGGUAACACCUGAAGCCGGUGG